AACGAACGCUGGCGGCAUGCCUAACACAUGCAAGUCGAACGAACCCUUCGGGGUUAGUGGCGCACGGGUGCGUAACGCGUGGGAAUCUGCCCUUUGCUUCGGAAUAACUCAGGGAAACUUGUGCUAAUACCGGAUGAUGUCUUCGGACCAAAGAUUUAUCGGCAAGGGAUGAGCCCGCGUAGGAUUAGGUAGUUGGUGGGGUAAAGGCCUACCAAGCCGACGAUCCUUAGCUGGUCUGAGAGGAUGAUCAGCCACACUGGGACUGAGACACGGCCCAGACUCCUGCGGGAGGCAGCAGUGGGGAAUAUUGGACAAUGGGCGCAAGCCUGAUCCAGCAAUGCCGCGUGAGUGAUGAAGGCCCUCGGGUCGUAAAGCUCUUUUACCAGGGAUGAUAAUGACAGUACCUGGAGAAUAAGCUCCGGCUAACUCCGUG
rnacentral:rRNA from 1 species